rnacentral:rRNA from 1 species
UACGGAGGUGGCAAGCGUUGCUCGGAAUCACUGGGCGUAAAGGGCGCGUAGGCGGGGAGGUAAGUCGGGUGUGAAAUCCCUCGGCCCAACCGAGGAACUGCGCCCGAGACUGCUUCUCUUGAGUCCCGGAGAGGAAGAUGGAAUUCCCGGUGUAGCGGUGAAAUGUGUAGAGAUCGGGAGGAACACCCGUGGCGAAGGCGGCCGGCUGGGCCGACCCUGACGCUGAGGCGCGAAGGCGUGGGGAGCGAACGGG